GCGGCGAGCGGCUAGACCGCGACACCAGCGACUGCUCUCUUUGCAAAGACAGGCUCCUCCCCACUCUCGUUCUCUUUUUGCUAAGCCCCCACUCCGCUGCUCUCACCGACCGCUGCAGGCGCUGAAAAGCCGCUGACCCCUAUCGGUGGCAAAACUCCUUAUAAGACGCUUAGAGCCGAUAGGGGUUGGUAGGAGUAGGAGGGAUAGGGGACUUGGUUUGCCCACCGUCGGCGGGAUUUUGUUCAGACAGGGACAGGGUACUCCCUGUAGGGCACUAGGUUUGCGUGCGAUGCUAAAAGAGAGGGGACCCGCCGCCGCUUCCCUUCCCUUCUCUCCCCUCGCCGCCGCCCUACCGCUCGCACAUGUAUGGCCACGUCCCCUGCCUCCUCCUCCACGCCCACCGCGACCUGGUGGAGGGGCGGCUGCGGAGGCUGUAGGAGCUGUAGGAGUUCCGGCUCGUUCGAGGCGAGGUGGAGACCGAGUAGUAGCGCUCUCUUAUGAAGUUCGUUCCCUUCUAGCUUGUCAAGGCUGUCUAAAAUCUCCUUCCUAGACCGGGUCUUUAGCUACUAAUAAUACGACUACACUUCAUGCUCGCCUAUCGGUAGGAAUUACGAAACCCACGAAAAGUAUGAAAGAACCCUUUCCGACUCUUUCGUGGUGUCUUCCUUCACGUAAAGUUUCUACGCUGAGUCAUGAUGUUAUCCCGUAGCUCCUAUCUACUUUGACUUGGAAGAUGUACCUAACCUUCUCCAGUUGAGACGCACCGGUUCCCACUCAACGUUUACCGUAGACUGAGUAAGUUCUAACAAAACCUACUCCUACCCCUAUUAAAAGGUCGGGAAGAACCAGUCCGAAGACAAAUAAAGGACUACCCACUAUGCCUUGUUGUUGUGUUCUUUCGAAACCUUACAAUAUUCUUGAGUGAUCUUGAGAUGUUCUCUCGGGACGCCCCUAUACGUCUAACAGGACGACGACAUUCCGAACCAUAUCGGAAAACAGCUAUGUUUGAACCAGUCGAUCUGGCCCGGGCUGUUCGAAAACUAGCUCAGAAUGUCAACCUGGGACUUUUGAAACUACGCGAUCAUCGUGAGCGCUAGUACCUGAACGUUUGUUUACUUCGACCACUUUAAGCGUCACCCUACCUCUUUUACUCUUCUCGGAAACUUUAAAUAGGAAUAACGUGAAACCGUGAGUUGGUGGACCGGUUGGUAAUAAAGAAAUGACCGGUCGUAAAACACCAACUCGUUGACUCACUCUGACGAGACAGAAGUUCGUCAGUACCUGAUGACUUUAGUGUUAGGAUGAUAUUGAAUCGGUCUAGUAUGGUAUCAUUCCCACUAAAACUCUGACGACCUGCCAUAAUAUAUCGUAGACAGUUUCUUCAGUUAUUUGGCGUUCUGAAACACAACGGUAAACAACCGGAACCAGUUUAUGUUAAUUUUAAGCCACUGAAGUUUGCAAGGAAUCGAUCGAAGCUCUUUCACGACCUCCAUGUGGGACUUUUAACACUUUCAAACUUCCGAUAACCCUUGUAGAUACGUUUGAACCCACUCUUACUGUUUCGGUAUCUUUGGAAAUUCUUCCAAUGUGCCUAACUAGGUUUUCUAGUGGUCCGUAAACAACUUGAGCCACUUAACAACCAUCUUAGACUAACCCGACGACGGUACCUUAUGAAUUUCUGUCGUACAUGAGAGGAUUCCUUCCGUCCUCUCUUUUAUGGCCAACUUAACGAGUUACCUUAACCUGAAGAAAUAAAACUCUUCCGUCUCAAACUCAACCGACUCGUUUCAAAAUUCCUUCGAGAUCCUCUGCCAUAGACCCAAAGUUAAUACCUACCCUGACGACCAUCAAGGUAUCGUUUGACCUCACACGUCAUGUCCCUAGUCUCAAAAAAAGUGGUUGAACUUCUUUCGCAUGGAGAACUUAAUGGGACGCUAUUUCAGUGGUGUAACAAAUUGAUACGUUCUAAUAACCUUCUCGAAGUACUAUGACACUUUCGGUCGGAGGAAAUGGCAGAGUAAUAAAAGUUCAUGGGCCUGAUGUAACUACGGAUAGACUCCGAUCCCAGAUAACGUUUUCUUUUUUUGUUAUAAGUUGACUCGUAACUCGACUAUCCACUACGAGAUUUCUAUUUAUCAUUCAUAGGUUUACGUGACAGAUACGAACCUUCAGAACUUGAGGUCUCACUACUUUGGACCGAGUGACGCUUCCUUGUAAAGGCACUACGAUUUCUACGAUGACUGCCUUUUCUGGGUAUGAGAACCGAAGUCGACCCGUUGACCUUGAUGAAACGACGGUUAGCGGGACUCUUCUUCCGGGGCUUUAAGCUCCGAUGAGUAGCCCUCUUUCGUUUCCUUGAAAAAAACUUACAUGAUUUCGUCUUGGUACCAUUAUACAAACGACGUUUACCAGAACCUUAGAAUGUACGACUCUUUCGGGUUACCCUAUAACGCUUCCUCAAUAAAUGUGUCCAUGUACUUCGACGUAGUCCUUCAUAUAAACAAGUCCAUGGACUACAUACCUAGUUAAACCGGGUGUAUAUAAAACGAGUUCCGGACAAAGUUGUUCGUCAAUUUUACAUGGUUUUGACACGCGCCUUCAAGAAGAUGUUGUGUCUACGUUGAUGUGAGGAUAUGGAAAGGGCUUGUGUAAUACUUCGACUCGUUACCGUUCUGACGGCCUUUAGAAACGACUCUCGAUAUGUAAACCGAGGUAGUUUAAUAAAUAAUGCCAAAUUACAACCGCAAAGUUACGUCUUCAAAAGACGAAGAUGAGAUGUCUUCUGUUUUGCUUGUCAACUACUCUGUAAACGAACUACGACGAUUCCAAGUAGCACUACGACGACUUGUUCGACUCUUCGUUUGGUUCGUUUUUAACCUUCAAUGGGCAGUUUAACGAAAUCGACUACUUCGAGCGGCCUCCCGACUUCUCGUCUCCUUUAAGGUCAAUCUUUCUUCCUUCGUUCUCCUGCUUAAUUUCGUUCAUUACGUUGUCCUCGUCGUGAAACUCGCACAGUUCCUUGUUACCUUUUGUAGGUUGUUGUGGGGACCAUUCUCUUUUCUAUCCAGGUCCUUACUUCUACUUCUACCCCUGUCACCCUUCUUCUCCUCCUUCCCACCGUUCUCUUCCUUCCUAGUCUUCUGUUUCUACGUUAUGCUUCUACUACUUCUUCUAGUUAUGUCUUUACUUGGUCUGCUUCUACUAAUACGUUUGUACAGUUCCCUAGGACCGCCACUGUUUGGUCUCUUUCGGGGUCUAGUGGAAGAACGCCGACGACCAGAACUCCUAAGACUGCGGCUUCUACUUUGCCCAGUAGGAGUUAGGCACUAUCUCGCCUUCUCUGCUCGUACCAGUCUUAGACUGCUGCUCCUUGGUCACGUCGCUAGUCACGUUGGAUGAUGAUCGGGUCCGGGCUUACUAGACUCACUUACUUUAUUCAUCUUCCUGUUUCGAGCGAGAACUGUCACUACUAUGUAAUCCAAUACUACAACAUCUUCAGGGUUGUCAAAUUAAAUGAAAACCCGACAUUGUUUUAUUAAAGACACCAUCAAAAAAAUCCCUUAAGCGUCAUCAAGAUCUCGAUUCUUUUCUAUUUGGAAUUCCCGGUACAAACGGGGUAUGAUUGGCUUCGUGACAUAGGUUAAGUACUAUGCAAAGAUGCAAUAGGACAUCAUACAAAAUACUCAUAGGACAGAAAAGACCA
rnacentral:rRNA from 1 species